rnacentral:rRNA from 1 species
GAUGAACGCUGGCGGCGUGCCUAAUACAUGCAAGUCGAGCGAACGGACGAGAAGCUUGCUUCUCUGAUGUUAGCGGCGGACGGGUGAGUAACACGUGGAUAACCUACCUAUAAGACUGGGAUAACUUCGGGAAACCGGAGCUAAUACCGGAUAAUAUUUUGAACCGCAUGGUUCAAAAGUGAAAGACGGUCUUGCUGUCACUUAUAGAUGGAUCCGCGCUGCAUUAGCUAGUUGGUAAGGUAACGGCUUACCAAGGCAACGAUGCAUAGCCGACCUGAGAGGGGGGUAGGGCCACCCGGAAACUGGGCAACGGGCCAGACCCCUACGGGGGGCAGGAAUAGGGAACUUCCCGAAAGGGGGGAAACCCUGACGGAGCAACGCCCGGUGAGUGAUGAAGGUCCGGGGAGCGAAAAACUCUGUUAUUAGGGAAAACAAUAUGUGAAAGAAACUUGCCCCACUUUGGCGGCACCAAAUCAGAAAGCCCCGGCUAACUACGU